ACGGCGAGAGCAGCUCGAGGAGAAGUAACGAACUGUCGUCGUCUCCGCGGCCACGCGCGCGCUCCCGCUCCCGCCGCUUAUCGGCUCCGGGCAGCCGCCAUGACGCCAAGAAAGCGAGCGCAACCGUAGCCGCCGCAGCCGCCGCCGCCACCGAGGUCGCCGUCGCCUCCGCCUCCUGCGCGACAGGCCGGGAGUUGAAUUCCGGGAAGUGGGAGCUGCAGGCUCGCUCCGUAUGGGUAUGGAUGCUACUGUCACUCUGAACCGUUGCGCAAGGACGUCGCUGCGGAGAGACUGAGAAGGAACGGAGAAAGCGAGGGCUGGAGACAGUCUGAAGCCUGUAUGAUGGGGCUCGGGAUGCUGCGGCAGGGCUACACUGGAUAAACCUUGAGAGCCGGGUCGUGCGUGGGGUCCGGUCACGCAGGCUUGCGCCCGCAUCUCCCUCGGGCCUCUGGCCUCGUCUGAUCCAGAGGGCCGGUGAAGGGGCUACUGCGUCACACCAGGCAGCCUUGGAACCCAAUUGUUUGGCAACUGUGGUCACUUCCCGCCGCCUCCUACGCCUAGGAGACCUGUGGUAGAGGCUUCCUCGGUGGGGGCGGGGCAUCUGAGGAGACAGAAACGUAGAGACCGGGUUGUUGACAUCCUGUGACGUUUCUUGAUCCAUUUGUGGGUAACCCCUGGCUGGUUCAGAAAAAAAAAAAAAACUUUCUAGGUCCUUCCCUGGAGGGCUGGGUGGAGGGUGCGGUGCCGAAUCUCAACAACAAAAAAAGCAAGUCGACGGACGUUAGUAACUGUUUCAGUUUAGCGUACUGCAAUUUAAUUGACUUUUUUUUUAUAACUGUAACUACGGGCUUCAGUUACAACCUUUCUGUGCGUUAAGGAAACACUAUUUUCAAGCAUGCUGGUGACACGCUGCACUCAUUAUGAAAGCAUUUUUUUUAAUCAAAAUUCUUUAACACUUCAUUAUCUUUCUGGGCCACAGAUAAGUCUUGAAUCACUCGAGGUUAAUGUUAAUGGUCAUUUUUAAAAUUUUCUACUCCCAUUCUUGAGUUAUUUGAUUUGGUGUAAAGGCCCACUUUCCAGGUCAAAUUAGUCGGGGUAGCCGCAUACCCAAAAUAAUUAUUUUCGCAUGGGGGAGAUAUUCAGGGCUUAGUCUAGGAACUGUUGAAACACUUUGGUUCAAAGCCUUUAAAAAGAUCUCAAAACAUAACGUCAAAUUCGUGUUUGUUACAUAGUAAGAUGUAUGUCCCCUUGAAUAGAGGAAAGCAAACAGAUACACGUGGUCCACUUAAAAAAAUAGUGAGAUCAGUGAAUAGUGAAACAAAAUGGAACACCACCAUAGUUUGCAAAGUGAUCUGUGCUCAGCCUCUUUUUUUUUUUUUUCUUUCCUUUUUCUGUUGUUAAUCAUUAGCUAUAAGGCUGGGUUGUGAGGAAUAACAAGAUCAUACAAAUCUCCAUUUCAGAAGUCCCUAAAAGUAGGUGUGCCAAGUGCUAACUUUUAAUACUAGGCUUUAAAAAUAUACUAAAGGUGCCUUAAUGAUUGGAACUUUCUGCACUUCCAAUUAAUUUCUUUCUUGGAUUAUUGGAGUGGUAAGUAAAAAAUAAAAACCCCAGAAAAACAGUAACCACAGCAGAGAGAGUUUUGUAGUCCGUAGUAUGAUUCAGAUAGUAAAGUCUUCAAAUGUAACUAUAUUUUUUCAUUAUCUUACAAAAAAAGAUUUACUAUAUGGACUUAAUCCAUUUUAUAUGUCUUCUGAAAGCACAUGUCAGACUUUUUAAAACUACUAAUUUGCCAUUUGGAUGUGAUGUGUUGAAUAUAAAUGCUGGACUUUUUUUUCAAAUUUGUAAUAUUGAACCUUGGAUAUUUAUAUUUCUGGUAAAGUCAUAAAAUCACAGAAUUUUAUAAUGACUGGAUAAUGUGAGGAAAUACAAGGUAAGUAGAAAAUUGAAACAAUCUUGCUAGUUGAGUUUUUAAAAAGUUACUGGAUAAAUGAAGUAAAAGUGAAAAAUUUUCUGACCAUUUGUUAUCUGCACAGUUAAAUUUUCAGUUUCACCUUGUUUAAAUAAACUUUCUACUUAUUGAUAUUAAAAACAAUAGCUGGUAAUCUCAACACAUGACUAGCAAAAAUCCCUGAAAAUUAAUAUCAACCAGAAAGUCUUCACUACAAUCUAAUUUCCCACUUGGGGCAUUUCAUAGUCUUUGUAAAGAAUAGUACUUUUACCAAAUCUAGGACAACACUUUGUGGAUACUUAAUUCUGAUAGGCUCUACUAGGGCUUGUUACAUAUUGGUAUUCUUCAAUAGGGAUAGAUGGAGAACCACUUACCCAGAAUUGUGAGAUGUGUAACAUAAAGACAGUAACUCUUGCUCUGUUCCUAUUUGAAUUCCAAGAAAGGAUUCUAAUUCCAUAAUGAUCUUUAUUGACUAGAGGAUUUGUAUGCUAGAACUGCUAAAACAGGACAGUAUUAAAAUAUCCUAGAAUCUCAACCUAUGAUAUCAUCCCCCAGGUCCUUGCCAAACAGAGGAAGAGCUUUCCAAAUAUGAUCCUUAAGUUUACAAAGUCCUCUAUAAAUAGAAACCAUGAACUCAUAAGUUACCUUAUAGUGAACAUUUACUACACGUUUUUGGUUUUCUGAAUAAAAAAUUAGAGGAGCUGUGGUUUGGCAGGAGACAGUCUCCUGGAAAAUUUGUCCCUAAUUACAUAUGUCUGACACUUCCAUUCCUCCCCUCUUUUGAUAGGCAGAAUUUCUAGGUUCUAGGUAGUGUUUGGAGAAAAUUCCUAGAUUGUUCCGAUACCACCAACAGCUCAUCCACCUUGUUAAUGGCCACUAUGGGGAUUUUUACUGAUAAAUUCAUUUACAUUAAGUUAAAUUUCAAAUGGAAAGUUCUUAGAAAUGAUACUAAGGCAACUGUAUAAAAUCUAAUAGACAUUGAAGUAGAUACAAAGAUUCUGCUUCGUCUACUGAAAUAAUUAGGUGUGCACACAGAAUAAGAAAAGGUUUUAGUAGCUAUCCUCAAAAUACCAAAUUGGUACAUUGAUGCUAUAUCAUUCCUCUUUCCCAAAUCCUUUAUUUACUUGUCCAUUUUAGCUCAAAAUGUUGUCUUAACCCUUUCUUCUUAAUCCCUACUACUUUGAUUAAUUAGCCCUUAUGUUCUCUACAUCUUUUCCUCCACCUUACCCUUCAGACUUGAAAUCUAAUGAAAUCACUUCCCUGCUUUAAAAUACAUCUAUUUACAUAUAUUUGCAAAUGUAAUAUUUUGAUUAGUCUUUCCACAGUCUGACCUCAGCAUGGCCUUCCAUAAUUCUAGCAGACACUUGGCACUCUAGCCACACAUUUCUUCAGGUCACUGGAAAGGUAUCUCAUUGUAAAUGAAUAUAGUCCAUCUAUCUUAUGAAUCAGUCUCUUGUAGGUUUAAGUAAAUUGUCAAGAACUCUUGAGUGCCCUGACAAAAUAGUACUUAUACACUGUGAGACCUGUCAGGCAGCUCUCUCAUCUCCCUUUUAGGACAUCAAAUCAUGUAUUCUGUAUGUGCAGCAUAUCACUGUAUUGUGAUAAAGCAUUUGUUUCCAUACUACAUUGUGAGCCCUCGAGUGUAGACUCCUGUGUCCCCAGUGCAGUAUGUUGAUAUUCAUGCAAUAUAUUGCAUUCCAGACAUUAUGUUGGGCCAGGGGGAGGGGGAUUAUAAUAGAGCAAAAACAGACACUUUCAAGAGUUAAAGUCCAGUGCAGGAAACAAUGAUACUGCAAAACCGUAACAGAAAAAAUGGUAUAAAGAAGCAUAAAGUGCUAUGAAAACUCAAUGGAGAACCCUAGUUAGAAAAGUCUCUCCAAGGGAAGUGACACGAUCUGAGAACUGAAAAGUUAGUAUGAAUUAGAUAAGUAACUGAAGAGCUGCUUUUCCAGACAAAAUAAUAUGGGCAGAAAAUCUGGGGCCACGGAGAUACGUCAUUUAAUGUCUCAGCCAGGGAUAAGCUUUCUUUUUUUACUUUGAGAAGUAUCCCAGUUUGGAUGAAAAAUUACAUUGUCAUUCUAUAAGCAACAACUUGAAGCGCAGUACUGCUAGAGCAGACGAAACUGAGGGAGAUGAAGCUGCAGUGGGGCCAGGCCAUUCAGGGCUCACAGGCUAAUAAAAAAGUAGGUUUUUUAGAGUAAAAGAAAACCUUUGAAAGAUUUAAAAUUGGGUAGUACCCAUGGGAUUUGCAAAUUGAAACAUUUACCCUAGCUGUAAAUUCAAAAAAAGUGUUAAAGACAGAUCAAAGUAGACACAUAUUCUUAAACUAAUUAGGAGGUUAAGCGAUUAGAAAUAACUUGAUGGGCCCAGAAUAGUUUUAUGCAGGUGGAGAGAGUAGAUUUGGAAGGAAAUGGCCAUAGAAUUUGUUAAUGCAAUUGGAUUCAGAGUUAGGAGGUGUAGGGAAGGUGUAUAUACCAUAGAAUGAUGUGAAACUAAAUGGUGGUGACAUCCACUUGAAUGGUGGUAAUAUGUUUGGAGAUGUGAAGGUGGAGAGAUCAUAAAUUUGGGACUUACUGAGUUUCUAUUGCCUUUGAAUCAUCUAAGAGGCUUUUGGAUAGCUGUCUGGAGCUAAGAAGGGAGAUCUAGAUGGAAAAUAAAAACUGUUAAGUGUGUAGAGAGAAAUUAAAGUCCUGAAUAUACACGAAAUAGAUUUCAAAGAUAGCCUAGGAGUGUGCAAUGAAGAACUUCAAUGUUUGGCUCGGUAGAGGAAGAUGAGCCAGAUAAGGAGUUGCAGGUAUCAGAGAGUGUUGUGCAAUGCAGGAUAAAGGCGUUAAGUGCUUCAAGGAAUGAAUGGUGAAUAGUGGACAGUGCUGUUGAGAUGCCAUGUGAAAUAGGACCAAAAUCAUAUCUACUAGAUUUAGUAACAUGAUGGUCAUGUGUUACCGUAGCAGAAACUAUUUUGUUAGAAUAAUAGGGCCAGAAUCCAAAUUGUGGUAGAAUAUGAUAAAUGAAGAAAUGGAGUUAAUGAGUCUAAAUAUCUCUCAGGUUUGAUUUUGACUUGGGAGGUAAUAUGAAUUGUUUUGUGGUGGGAGUUGUGGAUUUUUAUUUGUUAGGUGAAAGACUUAAGGUGUUUAAAAGAUGAUGGAAAAUGUCCUUUUGGGAGAAGGGUUGAAUGUAUUAGAGAAGAGUUAGCUAUAUGAAUUAGCUGGAAGGAUUAAUACUUAUGCAGAAAAGGAAAUAAGUGAAUAUUUUAAAAGUCUGAUUUGGGAAAAUAAAUUUUUUAAAAUCAGGAACUGAUUAUUAGAUACCAAUGUUUAUAGUUAUGGCUAUAGGUGGUCACUUAAUUAAUGUGAUUUGAGAGUUUCUCUGAGCCUUCUACUCCCCAAAUGUAUGCCCCAUGCUCUACUAAUGUUUGAGAAAUUUUUGGUAAGUAUUUUUUUAAAGCAAAUAUUCCUGAGAAGGGUUAUAUGUUAGAAAGGUAAUUUUCUGCUGCAUCAAAAUUGAAAAUUGCCUUACAAGCUUUGCAGUAAAAAUAAUCAAGCUGUACCUCAGAGAUUCCAUUCCAUUAUUAUGAGGUGGGGCCUUGAUAUAAACAUUCUUCAAAAAAAUGGUCCCCUUUUCAAAAGAUUAAUGUGCUGUUGGUAUUGAAAAAUUAUGGAUAUUGUAUUAAUGCUGCAUUGAAUCAUAACAGAUGAAGUGUAGAGAGGCCAGGACACUUAUUUUGAAAAUAGUGGUUAUUAAUGGUGUGGGGGGAGAUUUUGUCCUGCAAGGGACAUUUGGCAAAACCUGGAAACAUUUUUGGUUGUCACAAUGGAUGGUGGUGGUGGGAGCUGGUGCUGCUGACAUCUAGUGGGUAGAGGCCAUGGAUACUGCUCAAGGUCCUACAGGGCACUGGACAGGCCUCCAGAACAAAGAACUGUCUGGCCCCAAAUGGCGAUAGUGUCAUUUGCUGAGAAAUCCUACUGUAAAGAAUGGCAAGCUAAGUAGUAGGGUUUUUUUGUUUGUUUAAAACUGUAUUUAUUUAUUGUGAAAAUAACACACAGAAAGGGGCAUAAAGCACAGAGAUACAGAUUAAUACAUUUUUUAAAGCAGAUGUAUUCAUGACAACAGCCUAAAUCAAGAAACAGAUCCUAAACACUCCCUCCUCACUCUCCACCAACAAGGCCUGGCAUAUUCCCUUUCCAAUCAAAAUCCCACAAAGCUAACUACUAUCUUCACUUUUAUGACUUUUUAAUUUCUUACAUGUCUUUAUAGUCACACUACCGAAAUAUGCAUGACUAAAUAAUAUAAUUUUAUUGGUUUUGAACUUUAUGUAAAUGGAAUACUAAAAUACAUAUUCUUUUGUGCCAGGCUUCUUUCAUCCAAUAUAUUUAUCUAUUUGUUAUUGAAAGUUUUGGGGGUUAUUUCCAGUUUUGAACUAAUGUGAAUAGUGCUGCUGCCAAACAUUCUUGAAUUUGUACUUCAUAUAUAUAUGCAUAUAGGCAUUUCUGUAGGGAACCUAACAAGGAGUAGAAUUCAUGGGUAUAAUAAGUUUGCUAGCAUUUGAGAACCAACACCUAAGCACUUAGUUUAGUUAGAAAACAUGACGGAGUUAUGUUUUCUAUCAUAUCUUGUCUAUCUUAUCUUGUCAAAUCUUGUCAAAGACUUAAAUAGGGCUACGUUGUAUUUUUAAGUGAAAUCUUAACAGGUUAAAGUUGGUGUUCUGGUAAGGGUGCUAAUAAAUGAGGAUCUACUCUACCUAACAAGUUAGCCUAAACUCACUCAUGCUUGUGACCACCAAAAAAAACCUCAAAUAAAAUAUAUUUGUAAAACUAAGAAA